rnacentral:rRNA from 1 species
GACGAACGCUGGCGGCGUGCUUAACACAUGCAAGUCGAGCGAUGAAGCUCCUUCGGGAGUGGAUUAGCGGCGGACGGGUGAGUAACACGUGGGCAACCUGCCUUAUAGAGAGGAAUAGCCAUCCGAAAGGAUGAUUAAUACCUCAUAAUAUUGUAGCUUCGCAUGGAGCAACAAUCAAAGGAGCAAUCCACUAUAAGAUGGGCCCGCGGCGCAUUAGCUAGUUGGUGAGGUAACGGCUCACCAAGGCGACGAUGCGUAGCCGACCUGAGAGGGUGAUCGGCCACAUUGGGACUGAGACACGGCCCAGACUCCUACGGGAGGCAGCAGUGGGGAAUAUUGCACAAUGGGGGGAACCCUGAUGCAGCAACGCCGCGUGAGUGAUGACGGCCUUCGGGUUGUAAAGCUCUGUCUUCAGGGACGAUAAUGACGGUACCUGAGGAGGAAGCCACGGCUAACUACGUGCCAGCCGCCGCAGUAAUAC